AUUGAACGCUGGCGGCAUGCUUUACACAUGCAAGUCGAACGGCAGCGCGGGGGCAACCCUGGCGGCGAGUGGCGAACGGGUGAGUAAUGCAUCGGAACGUAUCCUGUAAUGGGGGAUAACGUAGCGAAAGUUACGCUAAUACCGCAUACGCUCGAGAGAGGAAAGUGGGGGAUCGCAAGACCUCACGUUAUAGGAGCGGCCGAUGUCCGAUUAGCUAGUUGGUGGGGUAAAGGCCUACCAAGGCGACGAUCGGUAGCUGGUCUGAGAGGAUGAUCAGCCACACUGGGACUGAGACACGGCCCAGACUCCUACGGGAGGCAGCAGUGGGGAAUUUUGGACAAUGGGCGAAAGCCUGAUCCAGCCAUGCCGCGUGCGGGAA
rnacentral:rRNA from 1 species